rnacentral:rRNA from 6 species
AAUCCAUAGGUUAAUGAGGCGAACCGGGGGAACUGAAACAUCUAAGUACCCCGAGGAAAAGAAAUCAACCGAGAUUCCCCCAGUAGCGGCGAGCGAACGGGGAGGAGCCCAGAGCCUGAAUCAGCAUGUGUGUUAGUGGAAGCGUCUGGAAAGGCGCGCGAUACAGGGUGACAGCCCCGUACACAAAAGCGCAUGUGCUGUGAGCUCGAUGAGUAGGGCGGGACACGUGGUAUCCUGUCUGAAUAUGGGGGGACCAUCCUCCAAGGCUAAAUACUCCUGACUGACCGAUAGUGAACCAGUACCGUGAGGGAAAGGCGAAAAGAACCCCGGCGAGGGGAGUGAAAAAGAACCUGAAACCGUGUACGUACAAGCAGUGGGAGCACAGGUUUACCUGUGUGACUGCGUACCUUUUGUAUAAUGGGUC